rnacentral:rRNA from 1 species
AACGAACGCUGGCGGCAUGCCUAACACAUGCAAGUCGAACGAAGGCUUCGGCCUUAGUGGCGCACGGGUGCGUAACGCGUGGGAAUCUGCCCUUUGCUUCGGAAUAACAGUUAGAAAUGACUGCUAAUACCGGAUGAUGUCGCAAGACCAAAGAUUUAUCGGCAAAGGAUGAGCCCGCGUAGGAUUAGCUAGUUGGUGGGGUAAAGGCCUACCAAGGCGACGAUCCUUAGCUGGUCUGAGAGGAUGAUCAGCCACACUGGGACUGAGACACGGCCCAGACUCCUACGGGAAGCAGCAGUGGGGAAUAUUGGACAAUGGGCGAAAGCCUGAUCCAGCAAUGCCGCGUGAGUAAUGAAGGCCUUAGGGUUGUAAAGCUCUUUUACCCGGGAUGAUAAUGACAGUACCGGGAGAAUAAGCUCCGGCUAACUCCGUG